GGUGAGGUGGCUGAAUUAGGUGAUAGACUGUAAAUCUAUUUAUGAGGGUUUCUCCUCUCUCACCA
rnacentral:tRNA from 1 species